rnacentral:rRNA from 1 species
UGUAAGCGUAUACCAAAGUUGUUGCAGUUAAAACGCUCGUAGUCGGAAUUUGGCAGUUCCGGAAGUGUGCACGUCGUGUGCGCACUUUGCGGGGACUGCUUUUGUGGUCUUGCGUAGGAUGAGGCACUUUCAUUAGUGAACGUCCUCACGCAACCACUCUUUACUGUGAGAAAAUCAGAGUGCUCAAAGCAGGCAUUUGCCGUGAAUGUAUUAGCAUGGAAUAAUAGAAUGGGACUCGGUUCUAUUUUGUUGGUUUGUUGGGACUGAGUAAUGAUUAAGAGGGACAGUUGGGGGCAUUUGUAUUCCGGCGCUAGAGGUGAAAUUCUUAGAUUGCCGGAAGACAAACUGCUGCGAAAGCGUCUGCCAAGGAUGUUUUCAUUGA